CCUACGGGUGGCAGCAGUGGGGAAUAUUGGGCAAUGGGCGCAAGCCUGAUCCAGCAACGCCGCGUGAGUGAAGAAGUAUUUCGGUACGUAAAGCUCUAUCAGCAGGGAAGAAAAAAAGUCUUUUUGAAUUUGGACGGUACCUGACUAAGAUGCCCCGGCUAACUACGUGCCAGCAGCCGCGGUAAUACGUAGGGGGCAAGCGUUAUCCGGAGUUACUGGGUGUAAAGGGAGCGUAGACGGCAGCGCAAGUCUGGAGUGAAAUGCCGGGGACCAACCCCGGAACUGCUUUGGAAACGGUUCAGCUGGAGUGCAGGAGAGGUAAGCGGAAUUCCUAGUGUAGCGGUGAAAUGCGUAGAUAUUAGGAGGAACACCAGUGGCGAAGGCGGCUUACUGGACUGUAACUGACGUUGAGGCUCGAAAGCGUGGGGAGCAAACAGGAUUAGAUACCCGGGUAGUC
rnacentral:rRNA from 1 species